GAGUGCGCGUGCCGUAGCAAUACGGUAUGGCGCACGGCGCACGGGUGCGUAACACGUGGGCAAUCUGCCCUCCGGUGGGGAAUAACCCCGCGAAAGCGGGGCUAAUUCCGCAUAACACUCCCUGGACUCCGGUUCGGGGAUUCAAAGCAGUGAUGCGCCGGAGGAGGAGCCCGCGCCCGAUUAGCUAGUUGGUGAGGUAACGGCUCACCAAGGCAAUGAUCGGUAGCUGGUCUGAGAGGAUGGCCAGCCACACUGGAACUGAGACACGGUCCAGACUCCUACGGGAGGCAGCAGUGGGGAAUCUUGCGCAAUGGGCGAAAGCCUGACGCAGCGACGCCGCGUGGGGGAUGAAGCUUCUCGGAGUGUAAACCCCUUUCGACCGGGACGAAUGCCCGCAAGGGAGUGACGGUACCGGAAGAAGAAGCACCGGCUAACUACGUG
rnacentral:rRNA from 1 species